GAUGAAGAACGCAGUGAAAUGCGAUAAGUAGUGUGAAUUGCAGAAUUCAGUGAAUCAUCGAAUCUUUGAACGCACAUUGCGCCCCUCGGUAUUCCGUGGGGCAUGCCUGUUCGAGCGUCAUUUACCCCUCAAGCACUGCUUGGUGUUGGGCGUCUGUCCCGCUUCGCGCGCGGACUCGCCCCAAAGGUAUUGGCAGCGGUCGUGCCAGCUUCCCGCGCAGCACAUUGCGCUUCUCGAGGCGGUCGAUCGGCGUCCACGAAGCUCACCUCCACCGUUUGACCUCGGAUCAGGUAGGGAUACCCGCUGAACUUAAGCAUAUCAAUAAGCGGAGGA
rnacentral:misc_RNA from 1 species